rnacentral:RNase_P_RNA from 1 species
GUAGCAGGUUGGUUUGUCGCUGCCGAUUUUCACAGUUGGCGGAGGAAAGUCCGGACAACGCAGAGCACCAUACUUUUUAACGGAAAGCCGUUCGUGAGGGCGGAGUAGCGUAACAGAAAAUAACCGCCGUAUCUUUUUACACUUCAGUGCGGUAAGGGUGAAAAGGCAGGGUAAGAGCCUACCGAGGCAGUGGCGACAUUGCCUGCCGUACGCCUUAUGGGUUGCAAAAUCAUGUAUACCGACGUUGUAGGGUUGCUCGCCCGAUGUCGGGGGGUAGAUUGCUUGAGGCAAAUGGCAACAUUUGUUCCAGAUAAAUGGCAAACAUUUCGUCUAUUCUGCCAUAGUGAUAGAUGAAAUACAGAAUCCGGCUUAUAGACCUGCUGCACAU